GCGCCCGGCAACAUUAGAAAACCGACGUGGCCACUUUUCGACACCAUGCGCUCAGUUUUGGGGACAAGGCAGCCUUCCUCAACAGUGGUGACCAACAUCCCAUCUGAAGUUCAGCCUAGGUCACCAAUUUUCAGCCAGGGAGAAUCCACCCUAACAGAGGAAGAUGAUCUCAGUGACAUCGGAGAAGACACA